rnacentral:rRNA from 1 species
CCUACGGGAGACAGCAGUGGGGAAUAUUGCGCAAUGGGUGAAAGCCUGACGCAGCGACGCCGCGUGAGGGAUGAAGGUCUUCGGAUCGUAAACCUCUGUCAGCAGGGAAGAACGGUCACUGUGCUAAUCAGCAGUGAAUUGACGGUACCUGCAAAGGAAGCACCGGCUAACUCCGUGCCAGCAGCCGCGGUAAUACGGAGGGUGCGAGCGUUAAUCGGAAUUACUGGGCGUAAAGCGCUCGUAGGCGGUAUGUCAAGUCAAGGGUGAAAUCCCCGCGCUCAACGUGGGAACUGCCUUUGAAACUGGCAAACUGGAGUGUGUGAGAGGAUAGUGGAAUUCCAGGUGUAGGAGUGAAAGCCGUAGAUAUCUGGAGGAACAUCAGUGGCGAAGGCGACUAUCUGGCACAUAACUGACGCUGAGGAGCGAAAGCGUGGGUAGCAAACAGGAUUAGAUACCCGAGUAGUC